GUGUGUGUGUGUGUGGUGUGUGUGUGUGUGUGUGUGUGUGUGUGUGUGUGUUCUUUCUUUUGCAGUCCUUCUACACAACGCCAUUCCUUUUGUAGGAUUUGGUUUCCUGGACAACGCCAUCAUGAUUGUAGCUGGCACGCAGAUUGAGUUGUCCAUAGGUGUGAUCCUUGGGAUUUCAACCAUGGCAGCCCUGAUGGAAUUUGGGAUGGGUACCAGCAGCAAACGAAGCUAUUGGCUCAGUAGAAACUGGAAACGUCUGUGAGACUGUCAAUAUAUUGAAUCCUGGGGUAGUUGAGGACUGAAGCAUCACCUAUGGCUGGCCUGUGUUAUGGGACAACAACAUAUUGAAUCCUGGGGUAGUUGAGGACUGAAG
ensembl:lncRNA